rnacentral:lncRNA from 1 species
GAAAAAAGGAAAACCAAGCAAAAGUCACUGUCAGGGGACCUCCCACCCACCAUACAGGGGAACACUCGGCAGAGCCAGAGGCCUGGGCCCAAGUCCUGCCACCAGCUGGCUGUGAAACUGUGGUACAGCACCUUGUGUCCUGCCACCAGCCGGCUGUGAAACUGGUACAGCACCUUGUCCUCAGGUCCUUGGUUUCCUCACUUGUAAAUUCAUGGUUCUCCAUGGCAUCUCUGGUCUUCAACAUUAUUUUGCAUAGAGUCUCAGAAGCUUUAGUGUGAGCGGAUGAUAUGGGCACGAAGCAAGGCACCCAGAAGUGGGGGCAACUACUCUGCUUUCUAAAAUGCAAGGGAACCGGAAAAUCCAGGAGCCGUGCCAAAUGAGAAGAGGAACAAAUGGAGGAACAUCCCAGUCAAGUGACAUUCCUAGUGACAUUCACCAGAACAGAGUCAAGCUUUGGAUCCCAUGUUCUGUGACUUCCUCUUCACCACGCUUCCUCCACACACGUAGCAGCUCAAGGGUUUCUGAUGAGUGGGAGGCUUGACUAGAAUUGAAUUCGAGACAAGCACAAAGAUCAUGAUGCAAAUGAAAGGGACAGAGGGGAGAGAAACAGAAAACAAGUCUAUGUUCCCUUUAUGAGCUGUAACGCACACCAUGAAGGUCUGCGGCUUGGCUAUUGAGUCAGUGAGAGCGUGAACCUACUAUUAGAAGAAAAACUCUGAAUACGUCUGAACGUCAGAAAGAACGAAGUUUGGACACAUUGUCUUUAAGAACUGUAACACUCACCCCAAGGGUUUAUGGAUUCAUUCUUGAAAUCAGUGAAACCAAAAGCUUUCCAAAGUUUAACACACAGGGAAAUGACUUACUGCAAAGAACCACUCUUCCCCACGAGACUUCGAGAAGACCCGCUGUCACGGACUGAGUUGUGUCCUCUUAAAAUUCAGAUGUUGGAGUCCAAACCCCCAGUAACUCAGAGUGUGAACGUAUUUGAAGAGGUCUUUAAAGAGGUGAUGAAGGUCUUUGUCUCUGACAAUUUGCCUCUGUGACGUGGAUGGGACUGGAAGUCCAUUUGGAGCCCUGUCUUCUCCACCUAGGGAGAGAGACCCCAUGAGCUCGUCAAGCUCCUUCUGUGACUGAUCAGAGAUCCCACCGUGAGUCCAGCUCCUGGUCCCAUGCUCUGGAUAUAUCGGUCCCUGGCAGCGUGGCUCCAUCUCCGUAGCCUGCUUUUGACAAAAGUGGAUACAUAAAUCUAGGGGCCACCUAGCUAGUUCUAAUAAGACUUUGGAAGUCAAAAGCUAAAGAAGACCAGGGGACCAAGCUGGAAAUCAGGCUCUGCAAUCAGAUUCCAGAGGGAAUGCCAUUCCACCCAAUCACCUAGCCACAACGGUUCCCUUCCUUCAAGAUGCUGCAUGCCUCUUCAGGCGAAUGGAUUACCUUGUAAGAGUGACCUGAAAAAGCGUUAGCCCAGCCACACCGAGGCUUAACUGAGCCAUUUGAUUCUCACUGCCUCUCUCUGUUGCUUCCUCUUGCUUUCAACUACAGGGUCUUUCUGUUUAGGUGGUGAAAAAAAUGAUCGUUAAAAACAAUAAACCUGGG